rnacentral:rRNA from 1 species
UUAUCACUUUACAACCCUAAGGGCUUCUUCCUUCCCGCGGCAUGGCUGGAUCAGGCUUGCCCCCAUUGUCCAAAAUUCCCCACUGCUGCCUCCCGUAGGA